UGAGCUUUUUGACUUUUAGGUUCCUUUCUGUUUCCCAGUUAGAAGGCCUUCAGGUCUGUCUGCUGCAGGGCCCUCUGUACUGGGAAGGAGACUGUGGGGCAGGGACUCGACCUUUGGGCUUCCGGCCUGUCAGAUCCUGAGCCCAGAAAACUGCUUUGCAGAGCUAUUGUGCUGGCCCUGGAGAGAGGUGGCCUCUAGAGGAAUGCUGUGUGGCAACUUCCCACACAAUGCUCCUGACUUCACAGUACCCCUUGGCUAGGGAAAGGACCCGAAGCCUGCUUUCAUGAGGCUGUGGAGAACCCUAAGAAGCUGGUGGGACUUCUUACACUCUGAGUCCCUUCUCCAGAGAAUUUGGGAGGAGCAGUGCUUUUCUAAAACUUGCCUUCCUAGAACUCAACCUCCUCCCUUGCCCCCCACCCCCCAGCAAUGUUCCAGAAUCUGGGAACAGGGCACAGAGCAAAAGAAAGAUGCCUAUUUUUGCAGAAUUUAUAUUUUAACGAGAAGCCAGAAAGUAAGCAGAAUAAAUGUGUGAGAUCUGCUGUGGAGAAAAAUGAAACAGAGAACAGCAUGAGGGAUGGUGGGGCUGGUGUGCUUCUCCCAGACAGCGUGGCCUCGCUGACAGGCCACAUCUGAGCCUGAUGGAGUAGAGAAUCAGAGCUGAGGGUGAGCUGGGGCUGAACAUCCUGGGUUUCUGCUGGUGACAGCGGAGGGCAUAACCCCUAAUGGCCCCAGGGCUUGGAGCUCCUGCCUCUACACUGACUUCUGCCCUGAGAAGAGGCUGGUGCCAUAGAGGGGAGUCGGAGGGGCCUUGUCCUGCUGUGAAGAAAGUUCCAGAGUCCUGGCCUGUACUCCCUGGUUGCUGGAAGAAGAUAACUCUUGGGAAGUUUAGAAAUCGUCUCCCAGACAUGUAACAAGGAGUUGCUGAGCUGGUGGUGCUGAGUCUUCUUUGCCAUGGAUUUCACCUUCAGGUUCUGCCUGGCCGGCCAGGCCACAGCGAAGUCCAAGAUGUUUCCACGUGGCUCCUGCAACACCUGACUUCAGUUGUCUCAGCACCUGCUGGUGCUUGGAAGCCCAGAGUGAACACUGGGAGGAAACAGGGGAAAGGGGGUCCUGGCAAGAAUGAGGGUCUGCACCGCCAAGCCCUGGAAAACUGUGCUGUGAGGCUCCCCUAUCCCACCCGGCCUCCUCCCUGCACAUUCUGGGGGAGCAAAUGCAGCUCCUCAUCUAUUUAUUUUAUAAAGUGCUGCCCUCUGUUGUAAUUAUCCGAGGGAGUCACAGAGUACACAAUUUUUUUUUUUUGGUACAGGGGAUCGAACUUGGGUCCUUGCGCUUGUGAGGCAGGCAGUGGAACCACUGAGCUAAAUCCCCAGUCCCAGAGUACACAAUUUUAAAACAAUUAAAAGAUGUAAAACAGAGGAUUGGCAAUGAUGGCAGUUUUUAAA